CUGGAACUUUUUAUCUUAAACUGCGACAAUAGAUGACGAUUAUUAACAUCACCGAUAGGGGUCAAUAGGGAUCGAGAAAUAGAGCAAAACGGAGAAAAGUUUAAUUGGUUUAGGUUAUAAGGUACUUUAGUAUUAAGUUCACACUAAAUUGAUAUGUAAGAAUAAUAAUCAAGUACCAUCAGUGUCCAACGAAGCGAGAGUUUUUGCAACCUGUUUAGAAAUGCGGUUAAUCAUACAUAAUGAAAACAAGCCUAAGUAAAUUUUCAUGAUCGUCAAGUGAAAUCAAUAUAUCAGUCUGGAGACAAUUAAAGAAUAUAAAUAUUAAGUUGCUUCGAUCAUCUGCCAUAAAUAUGAUCUGAUUAUAACUAGGCUUUAUAACGCAGUGUCAAAUUUAUUAUUUGUAUACGAAUGUUUCAUAAAUAAGUAUCUUUAAGUAUCAGAAUGUCUUAAAUUCUUU